UCUCCGUAGGUGAACCUGCGGAGGGAUCAUUACUGAGUGAGGGUUUAACCGCCCGACCUCCAACCCCCUGUUUACCUUACCACUGUUGCCUCGGCGUUCCCGCCCGCCUCCCCAUCGCGGGGGUGGCUGGGUGGUGCGCCGGCGGCCAAAACUACAAACCCUUUCUUUAAACCAGCAAUCUGAGAAAUUAUUUUAAUAACUUCAAAACUUUCAACAACGGAUCUCUUGGUUCUGGCAUCGAUGAAGAACGCAGC
rnacentral:misc_RNA from 1 species